UACGUAGGGUGCGAGCGUUGUCCGGAAUUAUUGGGCGUAAAGAGCUUGUAGGCGGUUUGUCGCGUCUGCCGUGAAAAUUCGAGGCUCAACCUCGAACUUGCGGUGGGUACGGGCAGACUAGAGUGUGGUAGGGGAGACUGGAAUUCCUGGUGUAGCGGUGAAAUGCGCAGAUAUCAGGAGGAACACCGAUGGCGAAGGCAGGUCUCUGGGCCACUACUGACGCUGAGAAGCGAAAGCAUGGGGAGCGAACGGG
rnacentral:rRNA from 1 species